rnacentral:rRNA from 1 species
GCGGCUGAUCGAAAGCAUUAAGUGAUCCACCUGGGGAGUACGUCGGCAACGAUGAAACUCUAAGGUAUUGACGGGGGCCCGCACAAGCGGUGGAACAUGUGGUUUAAUUCGAUGAUACGCGAGGAACCUUACCUGGGCUUAAAUGUAGCCGGACGAUUCCGGAAACGGGAUUUCCUUAACGGCUGGUUACAAGGUGCUGCAUGGCUGUCGUCAGCUCGUGCCGUGAGGUGUCGGGUUAAGUCCCAUAACGAGCGCAACCCUUAUUCUUAGUUGCCAGCGGGUAGAGCCGGGGACUCUAAGGAGACUGCCACCGUAAGGUGUGAGGAAGGUGGGGAUGACGUCAAGUCAGCACGGCCCUUACGUCCAGGGCUACACACGUGUUACAAUGGCCGGUACAGAAGGCAGCAAACUUGAGAGAGGGCGCGAAUCCAUGAAAGCCGGUCUCAGUUCGGAUUGGAGUCUGCAACCUGACUUCAUGAAGUUGGAAUCGCUAGUAAUCGCGCAUCAGCAACGGCGCGGUGAUACGUUCCCGGGCAUUGUACACACCGCCCGUCAAGCCAUGGAGCCGGGGGUACCUGAAGUCCGUAACCGCAAGGAGCGGCCGAGGGUAAACUGGUGACUGGGCUAAGUCGUAACAA